UGUAAUCUGUUUUAAAGUUUCGGUUGUGACAUGUUCUGCAAUGGAAUCAAACAGUGAAUUAUUUUAAUCGUUAUUUAAAACAUACAAGCUGCGAUAUCCAGACAAAAAACCGUCGGAUUGCCAAAAGGAAGCAACGGCAAUAUGGAAAACAGCAAAAAAAAGAAGAAAAAGAUUUUCAAACAUAUAUAAAAAUGUAAUAAAAAAAUAUGAAAAUCAGGUGCAACAAAAAAAAAAUCAAAACGAUGUCAUUUUUUAUGAAUGCUUCAAAGAAUAUAUGUACUCCUAAAAACGAUGUUCCUCACUCAACGAUCGAUAAUGAAAAUUCUACUGAUCUAAGGUCUCAGCAAGUGAUCGAUUCAAAUGACAAUUCCAUCGAUCUAAAAAAUUAACAUGAUGAAAAGACAACAUCUAAUGUCAACAGCGAAAAAAGCUACAGAAAGCCUGCGCAGGAAAAGGCAAAGGCAAAUAUUGUAUCCUUAACUCAGAGAGCAGCAGUCCUAGCGCAGGCAAAUAAUUCAACAAUGUCUAGCGAAAUCCAAAAGGAGCUUGAUAAAACUAGGCAAGAAAUUGAAAAGGAAAGAAGAAGCCUCAAGCGCAAGCAACAAAUUGCAGAAGCUCAAAAUAAAUACAGGCAGAAUAAACAACAAAAAUUGAGUUGCCUAUUUGAGGAAAUUCCUGAAGCUAAAAGUUUUUGUAGCCAACGAUCUACAGUCGGCAGACCCCGAUUGAAGACGAUCAACCGCUUCUCCAUAAAACUAAUUUGGAGAUAGCCAUGUUUGGAAGUGGAGCUGAUGAAAAGAUGCGCACUAACCUUGUCAGAAGUGUAAAACCUUGUCUGAUCUCCAUGAAGAGCUCAAAAAAGAAGGGUUUAACUUGUCGAGAAGCGCAACCUAUCUAAGACUAUUGCCUAGAAGCUCUUCCUCGAUUGAAGGAAAACGUCAUGUGAGAACGGUAUCGGUAAAGCUUUGUCGAGCCCAAGCAGAUUAUCACAAACAGCAUAUAGAUGGAUAUUUUGCUACAGCAUCUAUAAAAUAUCUUGAAAGCGUUGCCUCUGUUCUCGGCCCUGCUCAAGUGUUUUUUUUUUGUCACAAGUCGACAAGGCUAGGGCCCAAUUGGAUUGACUGCUGCAAAUAAGCAAGCACCUCUGCUUAUGCAUCUUCAAUACAAGGACAAGCUGUCAGAUCACGAUUGGGUUGUUGCCCCAAGGCAUAAGGUAAUCCCAUCAGUUUAUGCGGGUGUAAUCAUAAGUCCACAAAAACUGGGAGACCCGAAAGCAGUUGGUUAUUCUGGCCCAAAGCAUUCUUCAUCUACUGCUGGAACUCAUGCUAGAGAUUUCGACAGUUUUGUGAAGCUAGACUCUUUUAAAUCAAUAGCAAGGUUUUGGUGGUUAUUAUAACUUCCGAUGGUGCCCUGAUGAAAAUCCCAGAUAUGGGAAGAUUAUUUCCUAUGCAGUACAACAUUUUAAGGCAUACAAUUUGGAUGCAAUUUUUGUUGCCACAAAUGCUCCAGGAAGACUCAACCGAGUCGAAAGGAGAAUGGCCCCACUAAGCCGAGAAUUGUCUGGGUUGAUUUUACCGCACGACAUGUUGGAAGCCAUUUGGAUAACUAAGGCAGAACCACAGACUUCGACUUAGAGAAAAGUUUGGGGCAACAUGGUUCUCGAUGACUUUCCUGUGACUACCAAAUAUUGUCUACCUAAACAAGAAGAUGCAGAACUGGAUGACAUAGAUCAGUACUGGUAUCAAGAACAUGUUCGUGAGAGUCAAUACUUUCUGCAAAUUGUGAAAGGCCGUCCUGAAGAAUGUUGUGGAGAAUUUAGAAGUGGAUUACUUCACAUUCUAUCUGACAGAUUUUUCCCUCCUCCUAUAAGUGUUGUUCAGGGUGUCUCUGAAAUAAUGGUUUCCGAGAACAAUGAGAAGGGCAAUUUUCUGGACCUAAUGCAACGCAGAGUUCUCGUGGUAUCAAUAAAUAAACACAACAAAUAUUUGCAGAUUCCCUACGACUUGAAUUGUCCGUCGGUACAAAGCCAACUUCAAAAGCGCAUAUGCAAAACGUGUGGGUUGUAUUUUGCAUCACAAAAAUCAGCUACUCGGCAUGCAAUAAUCCAUAAAAAUGUAGCUGUAAGCUUCGAUUGAAAAUCAAAGAAACCCCUUUACCGUGUGGCUGGACGGCGAAAGGGAGAAUGCCUAGUGAUUCAGACAUACGAAGGAUGUGAAGACCUCGAAUGGCUUGACGAGGACUGUGUAGACGACGAAGACGAAGAAGAUACCUGCGGAAAUAAAGAGAUUUUGACAAGUCAACAACAAAUAUAUGGACAGCCCCUUACUAGCUUUUAAAUAUUCGCGUCCUAAUAAUAAAUUAUAAUUUUCAGAGAA